rnacentral:rRNA from 1 species
AUACGGAGGGUGCAAGCGUUAUUCGGGUUUAUUGGGCGUAAAGGGCGCGUAGGCGGUCUUGUAAGUCUGAUGUGAAAGCCCACGACUCAAUCGUGGAAGUGCAUUGGAUACUGCUCGACUAGAGUACUGGAGGGGAGAACGGAAUUCCUGGUGUAGAGGUGAAAUUCGUAGAUAUCAGGAGGAACAACUGUGGCGAAGGCGGUUCUCUGGACAGUAACUGACGCUGAGGCGCGAAAGCGUGGGUAGCAAACAGGAUUAGAUACCCCGGUAGUCC